GAUGAACGCUGGCGGCGUGCCUAAUACAUGCAAGUCGAGCGAACAGACGAGGAGCUUGCUCCUCUGACGUUAGCGGCGGACGGGUGAGUAACACGUGGAUAACCUACCUAUAAGACUGGGAUAAAUUCGGGAAACCGGAGCUAAUACCGGGUAAUAUAUUGAACCGCAUGGUUCAAUAGUGAAAGACGGUUUUGCUGUCACUGAUAGAUGGAUCCGCGCCGCAUUAGCUAGUUGGUAAGGUAACGGCUUACCAAGGCAACGAUGCGUAGCCGACCUGAGAGGGUGAUCGGCCACACUGGAACUGAGACACGGUCCAGACUCCUACGGGAGGCAGCAGUAGGGAAUCUUCCGCAAUGGGCGAAAGCCUGACGGAGCAACGCCGCGUGAGUGAUGAAGGUCUUCGGAUCGUAAAACUCUGUUAUUAGGGAAGAACAAAUGUGUAAGUAACUAUGCACGUCUUGACGGUACCUAAUCAGAAAGCCACGGCUAACUACGUG
rnacentral:rRNA from 1 species